UCGAGAAUCUUUGUCAAUGGGGGAAACCCUGAACAAGCGACGCCGCGUGCGGGAUGAAGGCCUUCGGGUUGUAAACCGCUGUCAGAGGGGAGCAAAAUUUGAGCGAUCCUCAGAGGAAGCCCGGGCUAAGUUCGUGCCAGCAGCCGCGGUAAUACGAACCGGGCAAACGUUAUUCGGAAUCACUGGGCUUAAAGGGUGCGUAGGCGGCGCUUCAAGUCGGGUGUGAAAUCCCUCGGCUCAACCGAGGAAUUGCGCCCGAUACUGUCGUGCUUGAGGAGGAUAGAGGUGAGCGGAACUAGCAGUGGAGCGGUGAAAUGCGUUGAUAUUGCUGGGAACACCCGUGGCGAAAGCGGCUCACUGGGUCCUUUCUGACGCUGAGGCACGAAAGCUAGGGUAGCGAACGGGAUUAGAUACCCCCGUAGUCC
rnacentral:rRNA from 1 species